rnacentral:rRNA from 1 species
CACGUAGGGCGCGAGCGUUGUCCGGAAUUAUUGGGCGUAAAGAGCUCGUAGGCGGCCACCGCAAGUCGACUGUGAAAUCUCCGGGCUUAACCCGGAAAGGUCAGCCGAUACUGCGGGGGCUAGAGUGCAGAAGGGGCAACUGGAAUUCUCGGUGUAGCGGUGAAAUGCGUAGAUAUCGAGAGGAACACCUGUGGCGAAGGCGGUUCUCUGGGCACUACCUGACGCUGAGGAGCGAAAGUGUGGGGAGCGAACAGG